rnacentral:misc_RNA from 1 species
GAAAUGCGAUACGCAAUGCGAAUUGCAGAACGCGAGUCAUCAGAUCUUUGAACGCAAGUGGCGCCGGUUAACAGCCGGCAUGUGGUGCUCAGUGUGUUUCGGAAAUCAUAUACGCGGAAUGUGGUUGAAGGCGGCUUGCCGUUUUCUCCCAUUAAACUCGCGCUGGACCGGCGGGCGGAUCUCCCUACAAAACCGUCUCUCGGCACUGGCUCCUAGCCCGGAAGUAGUCACUAGCACUCUAGUGAUCUACGGGCUUGGGGAUACAAACUGGUGCUCCGAGUAGGCUUGGGAGUCAGCUCGCAAAUUUAUUUUUCAAUAAAUAACGUGUUCACGGAAUUAUUCUUCAAAAAAUAAUACAAAAACAUUCCUAUCCUACACCUGAGCUCCGCAAGAUCACCCG